GUUUUAAUAAUUUAAUAAUAAAAUAUUGGUCUUGUAAAUCAAAAAUAAGGUUAACCUUUUAAAACU
rnacentral:tRNA from 1 species